rnacentral:misc_RNA from 1 species
UCGCGGCUUAUCACCGGCAGUCCCCUUAGAGUGCCCAACUAAAUGAUGGCAACUAAAGGCAGGGGUUGCGCUCGUUGCGGCACUUAAGCCAACACCUCACGGCACGAGCUGACGACAGCCAUGCAGCACCUGUGCUGGCCCCUUACGGAGCCCUGCUUUCACAGGGUUUAACCAGCAUGUCAAGCCCAGGUAAGGUUCUUCGCGUUGCAUCGAAUUAAUCCACAUAAUCCACCGCUUGUGCGGGUCCCCGUCAAUUCCUUUGAGUUUUAACCUUGCGGCCGUACUCCCCAGGCGGUCAACUUCACGCGUUAGCUUCGUUACCAAGGAAUUGCUUCCCCGACAACUAGUUGACAUCGUUUAGGGCGUGGACUAC